rnacentral:rRNA from 1 species
AUUGAACGCUAGCGGGAUGCUUUACACAUGCAAGUCGAACGCGUGGCGGACGGGUGAGUAAUAUAUCGGAACGCGCCCAGUAGCGGGGGAAAACUACUCGAAAGAGUGGCUAAUACCGCAUACUCUUGGAGCGGCCGAUAUGGGAUUCGCUAGUUGGUGGGGUAAAGGCUCACCAAGGACACGAUCCGUCGCUGGUUUGAGAGGACGACCAGCCACACUGGGACUGAGACACGGCCCAGACUCCUACGGGAGGCAGCAGUGGGGAAUUUUGGACAAUGGGGGAAACCCUGAUCCAGCCAUCCCGCGUGUAUGAGAAGGCCUUCGGGUUGUAAAGUACUUUUGGCAGAGAAGCGGUAUCUGCAGAAUAAGCACCGGCUAACUACGUGCCAGCCGCCGCGGUAAUUC